UACGUAGGGUGCAAGCGUUGUCCGGAAUUAUUGGGCGUAAAGAGCUCGUAGGCGGCUUGUCACGUCGACUGUGAAAACCCGGGGCUCAACUCCGGGCCUGCAGUCGAUACGGGCUGGCUUGAGUGCGGUAGGGGAGACUGGAAUUCCUGGUGUAGCGGUGAAAUGCGCAGAUAUCAGGAGGAACACCGGUGGCGAAGGCGGCUUCCUGGACCGACACUGACGCUGAGGCGCGAAAGCUAGGGGAGCAAACGGG
rnacentral:rRNA from 1 species